UUUCCGUAGGUGAACCUGCGGAAGGAUCAUUAUUGGAUUUUGAAACUUCAGGCUGCUGCUGGCUCUCCUCGGAGGGCAUGUGCACGCUUGUUGUCCAUUAUUUCUCCCACUGUGCACAAAUUGUAGACCUUUCAGUAGGCCUAUGUUGUUUUUCUCAAUCUCUGAAUGUAAUAGAAUGGUUUUGAAUCUUGGGAAAUACAAUACAACUUUCAGCAACGGAUCUCUUGGCUCUCGCAUCGAUGAAGAACGCGGC
rnacentral:misc_RNA from 1 species